rnacentral:sRNA from 1 species
AAAGUCGCCGAAGGCGAAAAGGCGCAUUGCACUUUCGAGAGCCUUUUGGUUUAUGCGAUGG